AGUGAACGCUGGCGGUAGGCCUAACACAUGCAAGUCGAACGGCAGCACAGUAAGAGCUUGCUCUUACGGGUGGCGAGUGGCGGACGGGUGAGGAAUACAUCGGAAUCUACUUUUUCGUGGGGGAUAACGUAGGGAAACUUACGCUAAUACCGCAUACGACCUACGGGUGAAAGCAGGGGAUCUUCGGACCUUGCGCGAUUGAAUGAGCCGAUGUCGGAUUAGCUAGUUGGCGGGGUAAAGGCCCACCAAGGCGACGAUCCGUAGCUGGUCUGAGAGGAUGAUCAGCCACACUGGAGCUGAGACACGGUCCAGACUCCUACGGGAGGCAGCAGUGGGGAAUAUUGGACAAUGGGCGCAAGCCUGAUCCAGCCAUACCGCGUGGGUGAAGAAGGCCUUCGGGUUGUAAAGCCCUUUUGUCGGGAAAGAAAAGCAGCAGGUUAAUACCCCGCUGUUCUGACGGUACCCAAAGAAUAAGCACCGGCUAACUUCGUG
rnacentral:rRNA from 1 species